rnacentral:lncRNA from 10 species
CCAGAAAUGGAGUGUGGACCAUACCAAACCAGGACCUUUAAAAAAGGAGCCGUGACCCAGGUGGUUACUGAGCUGCCGCCAAGUCUGCAGUGCUAUUGGUCCAGAAAAGGGCAAAGAGCGAACAGAGCCAUCAAACAGCGUGAGGAGCAGGUGAGGGGUAUGAGAGCCCAGUACGAAUAACUGUGGCAAAGCCUGGGCCUCACACCCUCGUGUACACAUCACGCCCCUGCAAGUUCACCUCCACUGUUCAGGGUCCGAUCGCCUGGAGGAUGGGUGUGGCUUUUCACGCAGGGACCCGCAGGCUCAGACCUAUUUCCCCAGCGGCUUCUGUGGACUGCAGAAUCAGGGAAACGUUUCCCCAAGAGGCUUGACAUGGCAUUGUGUCGAACCCCUGGAAAACCUUACCCCCCAAACCUUCCUCCCUCUGCUGCUUGUCUCUAACUGGGCUGUUUCUAAGGCAAUUGUAGCUAUAUAAUUUUCUAUUUUUUCCCCACACUUAAUCAUGCUCCUUGUUAAAAAAACAUUAGAAAAUAAAGAUAUGAAUUAAAAAAACCACCCUACACCCAAAGAUAACCACUGUUAACAUUCUGAGAUAUUCCUUCUAGACUUUUUCUCUCUCUGCAUGCGUGUGUACGUGCGCGCGUGAGUGUAUUUAUAUAUAUGCGUGUAUAUAUAUAAAAUCAGGCACCACUGAUAUUUUGGAUGGG